GGGAAACUGGGUCUAAUACCGGAUAUGACUCCUCAUCGCAUGGUGGGGGGUGGAAAGCUUUUUGUGGUUUUGGAUGGACUCGCGGCCUAUCAGCUUGUUGGUGAGGUAAUGGCUCACCAAGGCGACGACGGGUAGCCGGCCUGAGAGGGUGACCGGCCACACUGGGACUGAGACACGGCCCAAACUCCUACGGGAGGCAGCAGUGGGGAAUAUUGCACAAUGGGCGAAAGCCUGAUGCAGCGACGCCGCGUGAGGGAUGACGGCCUUCGGGUUGUAAACCUCUUUCAGUAGGGAAGAAGCGAAAGUGACGGUACCUGCAGAAGAAGCGCCGGCUAACUACGUGCCAGCAGCCGCGGUAAUACGUAGGGCGCAAGCGUUAUCCGGAAUUAUUGGGCGUAAAGAGCUCGUAGGCGGUUUGUCGCGUCUGCCGUGAAAGUCCGGGGCUCAACUCCGGAUCUGCGGUGGGUACGGGCAGACUAGAGUGAUGUAGGGGAGACUGGAAUUCCUGGUGUAGCGGUGAAAUGCGCAGAUAUCAGGAGGAACACCGAUGGCGAAGGCAGGUCUCUGGGCAUUAACUGACGCUGAGGAGCGAAAGCAUGGGGAGCGAACAGGAUUAGAUACCCUGGUAGUCCAUGCCG
rnacentral:rRNA from 1 species